AGCAGCCGCGGUAAUUCCAGCUCCAAUAGCGUAUAUUAAAGUUGUUGCAGUUAAAAAGCUCGUAGUUGAAUUUCGGGAUUCUAUCGUUGGUCGGGCUAUUGUCUGUACUGGCGUGUAGAAUUUCUACCUUCUGGGGAACUAUCAUGUUAUUAAUUUAGCGUGGUAGGAAACCAGGACCUUUACCUUGAAAAAUUAGAGUGUUCAAAGCAGGCUUAUGUCUGAAUACAUUAGCAUGGAAUAAUAAAAUAGGACGGUGGUCCUGUUUUGUUGGUUUCUGAAUCACCGUGAUGAUUAAUAGGGAUAGUUGGGGGCAUUAGUAUUCAAUUGUCAGAGGUGAAAUUCUUGGAUUUAUUGAAGACUAACUACUGCGAAAGCAUUUGCCAAGGAUGUUUUCAUUAAUCAAGAACGAAAGUUAGGGGAUCGAAGACGAUCAGAUACCGUCGUAGUCUUAACCAUAAACUAUGCCGACUAGGGAUCGGACGAUGUUAACUUUUCUUGACUCGUUCGGCGCCUUACGGGA
rnacentral:rRNA from 1 species